rnacentral:rRNA from 1 species
UACAUAGUUAGCCGGGGCUUCCUCCUUAGGUACAGUCUUUUAUCUUCCCUAACGACAAUAGUUUACAAUCCGAAAACCUUCUUCCUAUACGCGGCGUCACUGCGUCAGAGUUUCCUCCAUUGCGCAAUAUUCCCGACUGCUGCCUCCCGUAGGAGUCUGGGCCGUAUCUCAGUCCCAAUGUGGCCGUUCAACCUCUCAGUCCGGCUACUGAUCGUAGUCUUGGUAGGCCGUUACCCCACCAACUAACUAAUCAGACGCAAGCCCAUCUAUUAGCGGAUUGCUCCUUUCCUAACUGUAUCAUGCGAUACUGUUAGCAUAUGCGGUAUUAGCAAUGAUUUCUCACUGUUAUUCCCCUCUAAUAGGCAGGUUGCUUACGUGUUACUCACCAGUCCGCCACUAACCGCUCUCAAACUAAAAGAAUGAGUUAAGUCCGUUCGACUUGCAUGUCUUAUGUGCGCCGCCAGCGUUUAUCCUGAGCCAGGAUCAAACUC